rnacentral:rRNA from 1 species
GACGUAGGGGGCCAGCGUUGCUCGGAAUUACUGGGUGUAAAGGGUUCGUAGGCGGUGUGGCAAGUCGGGAGUGAAAUCUCUGGGCUCAACCCAGAGUCUGCUUCCGAAACUGCUGUGCUUGAGUGUGGGAGAGGCGCGUGGAAUUGCAGGUGUAGCGGUGAAAUGCGUAGAUAUCUGCAGGAACACCCGUGGCGAAAGCGGCGCGCUGGACCACUACUGACGCUGAGGCGCGAAAGCGUGGGGAGCAAACAGG